rnacentral:tRNA from 1 species
AAUACAGUAGGAUAAAUAAGUCUAUGAGAUUCAUAUUUUCAAGGUCAGAUGUGUUU